rnacentral:lncRNA from 1 species
GGGCCUCUGUGACAUCACAACGCAAUGGGAGUAUGACUUGGGCAGCUCCAGCUGGCUCCUCUGCUAGUCUUGCCGCAGUCACCAGUUUUGGAGGAAUGGGAGAGGAGCUUUCCACUCCUCUGAGAGUCAUGUCGAGAGUCUGUCUUAGCCCUCGACCCCUCAGUCUUUGUAGAUCUCAUCCCAGAACCCCGAGGGAGAGCACUCAGGACCGGUUCUGGUUUCCUGGUGUGGCCUGGGCCUCCAUCUGGUUUGGAGGCUAUUUUGAUCCACCGGAUGCAGAUUAGCUGCUGCGAUCUGGGGCUGAGCUGCUGGAGAGAUGCCUUUAUCUACAGAAGGACAAUUUGAAAACUAACUCAAAGCAUCGAGAACAAAUAAAUAAAUUCCUCUUUCCGUUCCCAGCACUCUCCAUCCUAUUUCUACAGGUAAUUGCUGAAGGAUUUUUGCUUCAAACAGGCUCUUGUUUGCAUCAAGUGUGGGGUGCAGCAAAGUGGACUCGGGACUGGCCGAUGUCUGGCCAGAAAUGCCAGGCAAGGGAAACAGUGACUCUAGUGGGGUCAGGAGAGGGGCAUCUGCUGGCCCAGGAGCGCAAGGCAGAGGGGUGAGGCGACUCUGAGGCAGGAGGUCCAAGUUUGCUGGACAAUGGCAGAAACAGAAUUCAAACACCUGUCUUCUAGGAGAAGUUCUGGUCUCUCCUCGGUGCUGCGGCUGCCCCGGGAAGAGUUUCCAGGAGCUGACAAGCAUUCAGAUGAGUAAAGAUGGGAUCGGAUUGAGAAAAGGAGAAGGGAGAGCAUAUUCGUUCUCUUUCCACCUCCCUCCCACAGCCUUUCAUGCUGAUCUCAUCUGACGAAGCUGCCUCCUCCUCCCUGGACUCUACAAGCCCCUGUCAUGAUGUUUCUCAGAUCCUGAAUUCCAGCGAAACAGAUGAUACUAACAAGUUUGAAGACCCCCACAGAGGAAUGGAAUCAGUAUGAGAACACAGUUUCUUCAUCUCCCUGUCCCAGAACUUCACCCUGGACUCCUCGACCAAUCAACAAUCUCCACACUUCGGCCCACUCCAAAACUCCUAAAAUCCCAAGCUCCAAACUCCUCUGGGAGAUGGAUUUGAGGCUUCCUCCCGUUUCCUUGUGUGGAAGCCCUGUCAUUAAACCUCUUUCUCUG